GCCUGAGCAAUAUCUUCAUCUUUAAUGCACAAGUUUCAAUUCUUUUUGCUAUGACAAUCAACGAAACUUAAAAUUUAAGCCGUAAGGUGAGCAGUUCUCUGUAUAGGUAAAGUAAAUUAUGGCUACUAAGAGGCUGCCAAGCAUUUACCCAGCUCUGUGGUAAACAUAGAAAUGUGAAAAGAAAAUAGCACAAAGUUGAAGGCCUUGUCUUUUGUGUUACACAAUGAGGGGAAUCCAAAACUGCAUUGAAAGUGGCCACACAAUUAACAUGCUAAUGCAAGGCUAUAGGAAAUGGGAACAUAAAAACAGGACUGAACAGUACAUCAGUUUGCCACAUUCAGAUCUAUUAUAGCUACUGCCCUAGAAGACCCUCCCAAGACAAUGCUCUGUUUAUUGGCUCCACUCUCAUUAAGCCAGAAAGAAUAGCACCAAGAAGAGUAGGAAGUCCGCCUCCUACUCCUUCCCUUCCACUCCAUCAGGCUUAAAACCACAGAGCAACAGGAAAUAACAAUCAUUUAGAAGUGCAACGGAAAGAAUGUACACACCUCUCUACAGAUUACGAAAUGUUAAGACAUCACAUUGCAUCUAUUUACUAACCUAAAACUGAAGUUAAUAAUUGGACAGUGAAUAAUGGUACCCCUUUGUUGUUUUCUCCUGCAUUUCUGUUUAUGUCUCAAUUGUAUAAGUAAAGCUUCAUAAAUGUAAUUCUAUUUCAAAA